rnacentral:rRNA from 1 species
CACGUGGGGAACCUGCCCCAUAGUCUGGGAUACCACUUGGAAACAGGUGCUAAUACCGGAUAAGAAAGCAGAUCGCAUGAUCAGCUUUUAAAAGGCGGCGUAAGCUGUCGCUAUGGGAUGGCCCCGCGGUGCAUUAGCUAGUUGGUAAGGUAAAGGCUUACCAAGGCGAUGAUGCAUAGCCGAGUUGAGAGACUGAUCGGCCACAUUGGGACUGAGACACGGCCCAAACUCCUACGGGAGGCAGCAGAC